CUCCAGAAGCCGAUGAAACGAGGAAAAGAAUGACUAAAAUAUGGUCCAAUUUUGCGAGAUAUGGGAAUCCAACUCCAACAGUAGAUCCACUCCUGCAGAAUAUCAUCUGGCCGCAAAUACCGAAAACCAAAGACAUUCCUUACUUAAGAAUUGACGUUAACUUCAGUAUUGAGAAAAACUUUCGAUUAGAAUAUGUUAAUUUUUUGAAUGAACUAGCCGAAAAUUCAAAGUGAAUGUACAAUCAAGAAAUAAAUGGAACUUAUCAAUUCAA